rnacentral:misc_RNA from 1 species
GAUGAAGAACGCAGUGAAAUGCGAUAAGUAGUGUGAAUUGCAGAAUUCAGUGAAUCAUCGAAUCUUUGAACGCACAUUGCGCCCCUUGGUAUUCCAUGGGGCAUGCCUGUUCGAGCGUCAUUUGUACCUUCAAGCUUUGCUUGGUGUUGGGUGUUUGUCUCGCCUUUGCGUGUAGACUCGCCUUAAAAUAAUUGGCAGCCGGCGUAUUGAUUUCGGAGCGCAGUACAUCUCGCGCUUUGCACUCAUAACGACAGCGUCCAAAAGUACAUUUUACACUCUUGACCUCGGAUCAGGUAGGGAUAGCCGCUGAACUUAAGCAUAUCAAUAAGCGGAGGA